rnacentral:rRNA from 1 species
UAGUAUUCAAUUGUCAGAGGUGAAAUUCUUGGAUUUAUUGAAGACUAACUACUGCGAAAGCAUUUGCCAAGGAUGUUUUCAUUAAUCAAGAACGAAAGUUAGGGGAUCGAAGACGAUCAGAUACCGCCGUAGUCUUAACCAUAAACUAUGCCGACUAGGGAUCGGAUGAUGUUAAUUUUUUAAUGACUCA